GACGAACGCUGGCGGCGUGCUUAACACAUGCAAGUCGAACGGACAGGCCCUGCUUUUGUUGGGUGCUCGAGUGGCGAACGGGUGAGUAACACGUGAGUAACCUGCCCUUGACUUUGGGAUAACUUCAGGAAACUGGGGCUAAUACCGGAUAUGAUCUCCUGCUGCAUGUUGUGCGUUGGAAAGUUUCGGCGGUUCGGGAUGGACUCGCGGCUUAUCCGCUUGUUGGUGGGGUAGUGGCUUACCAAGGCUUUGACGGGUAGCCGGCCUGAGAGGGUGACCGGCCACAAUGGGACUGAGAGACGGCCCAGAAUCCUACGGGAGGCAGCAGUGGGGAAUAUGGCACAAUGGGCGGAAGCCUGAUGCAGCAACGCCGCGUGCGGGAUGACGGCCUUCGGGUGGUAAACCGCUUUCGCCGGUGACGAAGAGUGAGUGACGGUAAUGGGUAAAGAAGCACCGGCUAACUACGUG
rnacentral:rRNA from 1 species